AUGAGCAUAUGUGCUAGUUUGGGCAAAAAAAAAGGUACACCUCUCCCAGCGGAGAGAAAGAAGCGGCGCCUGCGACCGGAGCCCGGCACCGGCUACGGCCACCGACUUCUUAUUCCCUCCCGCCGAUUCAAUUCAGGCAAGUCUUUCUCUUUGCUGUCCUCUCCCGGUUUCGUUUCUCCUCAUCUCACGGGAUCAAACCCUAGCUAUCUAGGUUUUCCUCCCAAACUAACUCCUCCUACCUACAUUUACUUGCCGCGGCAGCUCAGUCGUGGGGGAGAUUUAAUGAUGGAUGCUGCCGCCGAGGUUCCCCAAACGAUCUGUCCUGAGAAGAAACCACGCGCGGAUUUCGAUGGCGAGGCAGGCCGACAUUCCCCGGCGGCCGUAGACCCUGUCUCCAAGGUGCUUGAGGACAACAACCUCCUCGCGGAGAUCCUCCUCCGCGCCGGCUUCCCCACCACCCUCGUUCGCGCUGCCCUUGUGUGCAGGUGUUGGUACCAUCUCGCCUCGAACCAGGGCUUCCUCCGCCGGUUCCGUGAGCUCCACCCGCCCCGCCUACUUGGCUUCUACAUUGGUAGCAUCUUGAUCCGGCCGGAAUUGGUAGCCUUCCUGUGCUUUGUCCCGAUGCUGCCCCAGCCCCCGGAGCUCAACAUAUGGAGUGCGCGGCAGAGAACUAGCAUAUGGAGUGCACCGCCCGCUUUGCCCUGA
rnacentral:rRNA from 1 species